rnacentral:tRNA from 1 species
AUUUUUUUGUUUUCAAUUCAAACAAGAGGUA